GAUUAACGCUGGCGGAAUGCUUUACACAUGCAAGUCGAACGGCAGCACGGGGGCAACCCUGGUGGCGAGUGGCGAACGGGUGAGUAAUACAUCGGAACGUGCCCAGUCGUGGGGGAUAACGUAGCGAAAGUUACGCUAAUACCGCAUACGAUCUACGGAUGAAAGCGGGGGACCGUAAGGCCUCGCGCGAUUGGAGCGGCCGAUGUCAGCUUAGGUAGUUGGUGAGGUAAAGGCUCACCAAGCCGACGAUCUGUAGCUGGUCUGAGAGGACGACCAGCCACACUGGGACUGAGGCACGGCCCAGACGCCUACGGGAGGCAGCAGGGGGGAAUUUUGGACAAUGGGCGCAAGCCUGAUCCAGCCAUUCCGCGUGCAGGACGAAGGCCUUCGGGUUGUAAACUGCUUUUGUACGGAACGAAAAGGCUCUGGUUAAUACCUGGGGCUCAUGACGGUACCGUAAGAAUAAGCACCGGCUAACUACGUGCCAGCAGCCGCGGUAA
rnacentral:rRNA from 1 species